UACGAAGGGGACUAGCGUUGUUCGGAAUCACUGGGCGUAAAGCGCACGUAGGCGGAUGUGUCAGUCAGGGGUGAAAUCCCGGGGCUCAACCUCGGAACUGCCUUUGAUACAGCACGUCUCGAGUCCGGAAGAGGUGGGUGGAAUUCCUAGUGUAGAGGUGAAAUUCGUAGAUAUCUGGAGGAACACCGGUGGCGAAGGCGGCAUCCUGGACCGAGAUUGACGCUGAGGCGCGAAAGCCAGGGGAGCAAACGGGG
rnacentral:rRNA from 1 species